CUGUCCCUCCAAUUUUUUCGACAUCAAUCACCUUUUCCCUCCAAUACUUUUUAGGUCUUCAUUGUAUAUCACGAAAUUAUUUCAGUAGACACUGUAAAGGCUCUCAUUUUCCUGCUGCCCAACUAAUCUCUGUCUCGCCAUCACCAGCAACCAUCCUAGAAUACAAUGACAAUUCUUGGGGCCAAAGUUAUCAGAAGAUAGGAUAAUAAGAAGAACAUUGACGAUGAUGCAUUAGAUGUUGUUGAGAAUGAUAUUUCAAUGGGUAUCUAGUUUGAUUGAGGUUAUAAUUUCACUGAAAAAAGGGAGUUGCAUCUACUAAAGUAUGACAAAAGAGAGAAGCCAAAAUUCUGCCUCUGAGCUUAUCUUUG